UUUUUUUUUCUCACUAUAGUGAGACCCCAUCUAAAAAAAAAAAAAAAAUCAAUCCUAUGCUUAUAAUAACAUAAUUUGAGCCAAGUCACUGUAUUAAUUGGCUUCAUGCUACUAUAUUGAAAUUCCUGAGGUAAUUAAUAAAGAAUUUUAUAGGUUCAGAGUCUAAGAGCAGAUCGCCCUAUGCUAUUCACUGUAGUAAAGGCAGAACAUCCUAGCAGGAGCAAAAAGCAUUACAAACUGCUCUUAUCACAAGGCAAGAAGCAGAGAGAGAACAAGACUGGGUCUUAGUGACGCCAAUAAGGCCCUACAUUCUGAAGACUCGUAUCUUCUUCCAAUAGGGCUAUCACCUUGAGGACCAGGCCUUUGCAUGAGCCUUUUGGGUACACUUUAGUUUUCAUGCCACGGGUGAUAGAUAGUAAGUGACUUGACAAUGGUAAGUAGAUAGGAAUAGGCCUAGGAGUUUAUUUCUAGUGGGGUAGUGGUUAAGGUUUUAUAUUUAAACCAUUUAGUGUAUCUACUUCCUUACGUAUGGGAGGUUUGUACAGCAGUGCCUUUAGCAGUUAAUGAACAUGUGUCUGUUGAGUGCAUCCAAUUUUGGGGAACGUGAAUUCUGUUUAGAUAGGAAUUGCUGCCUUUAGUUGUACCACUCACUUUAUCUGUGUGACUCCUUCAUCCUUAUGUGAAGCACUGACUUCUGAGGAGCUAGAGCAUCCACAUGUAACUCAGGCAUGAGUGCAUCUUUGUAGUACACACACUGGGUCAUUGCUUUUGCAGUAUAGCCUUCACUGAUGUCAAUGUCCUCUUCAUUCAGUUCUAGGGAGUGAAUUACUUUCUAGGAUUUUAUAUGUUAAAUGUUUUUGGAAAUAGGACAUUAAGCAGAAUAGUUAUCAUUUCUUAAGUUCUCAUUGAUUUGUGGUUACUGUGUUCUAAUACUGGUUGCCUGACACUUGACUAUCUCUGGUUUGAACUGGUACCCUUAGAAUGUUCUCUCUCUCAUAAUUUGGCUAGUAAGAUUGGCUAAUCUUUUUAGCACAAUUUAUAACUGCUAUUUUCUUAGAGAUCCUAUUAUUAAGACUAGAGACUUAUCUUCUUAUUUACCCAAAGCUUACGCAUUCCGUGAAUAUCAGUCCAGUUCAUGUUGCCUAUGUAAUAUUUAUGUGAAACUACUUGGCCAUUUGUUACUGCCACUUGGACAUCAGAGCCUAUUCCUUUGCAUCUAAUGCAGAAAAUACAAUAUUUCAGAUUUUUUCUGGGGAAAUCUUACUUGUUUAUUUGGGCAGAGAUGGAGGAAGGACUUAAAUACUAGCAAAGGAUGUGAAGGUUUUAAGAGCAAGGUUUCAUGUGUGUGACAUGGUUUAGUUCCCAUUGCUGUGUUAGCUAGCCCAUGCUUUUCCCUUUGAUUCUUGUAGUAUAGUUGCCAGUAUUUUUUACUUGUCUGGUUAAAUAUUUGAUAUCUUUAAGAGAGAAGCUUUGUUGAGUAAUGAUGCUAUCAUUGCACCAGAGUACGGCAGAGGAAAUGAAGGCAGUCAGUGACUGGAUACUGCCCUCUAACAACAAUGUUGUGGAGGAACACCCUUUGUCCUCUCAAGAGCUUGUUCCAGUGCUGGCAAUGGAACUGAAAGUUCAACUUGAAAUUCUUAUCCCUCAUAUGAGGCGUGUUAUAUGUUGACAGAAGCAGCUAUACUCUACAGUAUGUUCUUUGCCUCUUUGCUGGGCUCCUCCUUAGCUUGGAGCAGUUGCUUCAAGCCAGUGAAACCUAAGCUAGUGCCUAUUCUGGUGGAACUGUUUUCAAGAACCUGGAUCUGUCUAGAUCUUUCAUGGACUGGUGACUCUUGUAUUUCAAAGUGUUUAGGGAUUCUGGCUCUUAGGACAACAUUAUUCUAAUUUUGGUUGAAUAGUAGUGUAUAUCAGAGGCUUUACAGGGGCCAGUGUGACUCUGACUCCACCUUACAACUAUAUUAGGAACUUAAUUUGUGUGUUUGAUUUUCUCCAUUUAUUAUGUUUUCACUAGGAGCUGUCCUUUUUUCUUAUGCAACACCCUCCUCCCCUACAACUUACACAUACUUGUGGGGCCUCAAACUCUCUUGUAGCUAAGUGUGACCUUGAACUUCUGACUCUCCAUGACUCACCUUUCCAAGCACUGCAAAUGCAGGCAUACACCACCAGGCUAAUCUACUUUCUGAAACUUUCCAAGAAUCUGAUGCACCUGUUUAAUCCACGUGAAUUUAUAGAGAGAUUACUGUGGAGAAAGGCAUGGCACCCCAGGAAGGGCUGAGAAUGAAAAUCUUAGUAUCGCUCCCAUAAGAUUGGUCCCUGUAAGGCAUGGAAGCUCAUUAGUACGGACACUUGAGCAGUUCUUUCUCUUUGCUCAUCUUAUAUCCCUCUCUUCCACUCACUCCCUGUAAGCCCCCAGUGUCAGUCUUUUCUCUCAGACCUCAUGCUUUCUGCAACUGUAUUUUUCCCUUCUUUGCCUGGCACAUUCCUGUUUACUUUUUGGGGACCCUUUUGAUAGUCCUCUAGAGAACUUUCCGUGGCUUCUCUCCACCCUCCUCUAGGCAUAGCACACGUGCCUCUUGGUUUGGUUCAUACUACAGUACUUUCUUGUAACCAUUGAGUCAUUGUGGUCAUCAGUAAGGUCGGUAGGGCAAGAGCUGUUGUCUUAGUAACAUCUGUACUCAUGAACUCUAGCAUGGUGUGCAAGAAGAAGGUAUGCUUGAAUAUGUUAAUUCAUUAAGCAUUCAGAAGGGUAAUGAGGUAUCCAAGCAUGUCCAUAUCAUGGAGGUUGACCAUUGAAAGAUUCCCUUUCAGAUUGCCUCAUUUCUUCCUUUCUAUGU
rnacentral:lncRNA from 1 species